GUUUAAUUUUCAUAUUGAAUCAAAUAGGCCACGCCUACUUUAUUAUUUAAUAAAAGCUUUCGUAUGUCUCUGGUUGGAUGCAUACAUGCAUGUUUGCGCAUUGUGCAGGUGCAUGACACCGCACUAACAACCGACACGUUUUAACCGCACUAACAACAUAUACGUUAUUCACUGGAAACAAAGUUUCAUUUGACAAGAGAAGCCAUCAUGAACCUCACUACAUAUCCUAUAUACCAUCUAACGGAAAUCGAAAAGACAACGUUGUGUAUUUUCAACGUCUUCUCCAUGGCGUUUGGUCUACUUGGCAACAUAAUGGUUGUUACUGUGUUAAACCUGCAUCAAAACAGUCGCGGGAUGCCCUCGACGAUCAUCUUAAGAAGCUUAGCUGUCUCUGAUAUACUGAUAAUUACUAUCGUACAGCCAUUGUAUGUUUAUUCGUUUUUCUAUAUAGUGGACACAAGUCUUGCUCGAAUACUGCAGGCGUCUCGCUGGGCCUUAGUUCUAGCUUCGUUACUUCAUCUUCUUGUCGUAUCAGUCGAUCGUUUUCUUGCGAUAUGUAGACCAUAUCUUUAUCAUCAAAAACUGAAACAUACAUGUAGCUGGUGUAUUACAGCGUUGGUCAUAGUCUGGUGUUUCACAAUAGUCCUUGGUACUGCACUAGCACUGGUUGCGAAAUCAACAGCACGAGUUAUUCAUGGAGUGGUCGGCUUCCUCUGUUUCUUGGUAAUGAUCACUUUAAUCGUAAUUCAUAUUCGACUGUUUAUCGUUGCCACAAGACAUCGCAAGAAAAUUGAAAAGGAACAUGCAGUCAAAAGAGUUGUAAGAUCAAAUUCUACUGAAGAUGAAGAUAGCCAUAAUUCACAUGAAGGAGAAAAGAAACAAAAGCAUCGUCACUUUUUGAGACUACAUUUGACAUUUUUUCAUGAACUAAGAGCGUUUAAAACGACGUCGAUAGUUUGUGGUGCGUUUCUACUGUCUUGGCUUCCUCUACUUAUCAUGGGCUUAAUCUACAUGACGACUCGAGACAUGAACGAUAAACAAACAAUGUUACAUAUUUUUCCCUACGUUAACACUUUGGCUUUCUUAAAUUCUGCACAAAAUCCUUUCAUUUAUUCUGUUAAAAUUCACACUUUUCGAGAAUCUCUUCGAAUAAUCACUGGUCGUGCAUGUUCGUUCGUUAGUGUGAAAUGAAUCUGCAACUGACUGAGAUUGGAGAUUUUGAGGAUAUCUUUGAGAUCUUGUCUACAGAAUGGCAACGACGCCUAAUUUGUGGAGCAAUAUAUGUCCAAAGCAAAAACUCACGAACUGCUUUAUGUCGGCUUUAUCAUUCUAAAAUGACUGCAAUAGUCUAUGCAGUUGAAUUUUGCUCUAUGUUCAGCAAGUUAGGAUGUAGUAAAUCGGUAAUUAUGAACUGUAUAUGUUAGUAUCGACUCAGGUUAUUACCGGGUCUAAAUCUAAGAACACAGAAAGAAAGAAAUAGUUAUACUGGUCUAUUUGUGUUAGCUAUCUUAGAAAACCCGCUUGAUUUAGUAAUACUUUCUCUUUAUCUUUUAUUUUAUGAAUUUGUUUCUCAUUUGAGGCGUGCAAAACUACAUGCUACAAGGGGCGGCAAAAUCUUAAAGUAAUCAUAUUAUUACAUAACACAAUACAAAAGGCUUUUUAAAAUAUUUAUGUGCCACCUGCAAUAUGGGCCAUGGGCAUUGAGUGGCCGCAAAAUAUUUGUACAGUAAGAAAAUUAUGGGAAUUAAAGAGCGAAUGAAAAC